AUGGAGACACUAGCCCUUUUGGAUAUACCCCGACGGCACACCCUAGUAAUGCCGGGACAUGGGUGGCGACCUUCUGAACCAGGCCUCAUCAAGAUCAUUACGGAUGCUGCAAUCAAACGUGAAGAUGGUAAAGGAGGAGCCGGGGGUGUUGCACACUCCCCUGUUUAUUUUCUUGGGGCAUGGAGUAAACCAUAUCCUGGAGUUAUGGAUCCUCUCAUAGCGGAGGUGAUGGCAGUGCGAGAAGGUGUUAUUUUCGCCAACUUGAGGGGGUUUUCAAAUGUCAUGUUGGAGACGGAUUGUCUGGAGGUAGUCAAACUCUGGAAUACUCGCCAUGAUUCUCGAUCGGCCGUGGCUCCUAUCUUAGUAGAAAUUGGAGAGCUUGCUGGUAGUUUAAAUUCUUUUGAUAUUCAUCAUGUUCCGAGUCAAUGCGGCGGGGCUCCAGGCGAUGCAAGGAAACGACGGGAUCUGGUGCAGCGGUUCAAGGUGGACUGGAUCCGCGGCGAGAGGCAGGUUCUAGUGGUGGAGGGCUCCCAACGAGUAGCCGCCCCUAGGUUUGGGUUGAUUUUAAAUCCGUGUGAUGGAUAUUUCGGUCCUCUCAAGCUUCCUUCAAGAUCGGUUUUAGGAGAGAUUGGCCUCAAACUAAGGACAAAUUAG
rnacentral:rRNA from 1 species